CUUGUAUGGCUUUUUAUUCCUAUGUGAUUAUACAUCCCACUUCAUAUAGGGAUUGAAGCCGUGCAAUACGCCGGGGUCCUACAGCGGAGAGCAGCUCCUGUGCCAUGGGAACCAGCCUCGAAGGAGCCUUCAGAGCUGUCCCCUGGGGUGCUGGAGGAAGACUGCUGGCCUCAGCCUGGACUCUGUCCUGCUUCCCAGGCUACCCAACCCUCUUGGGCUGCAGGUGUGGGGUGCCAAGCUGCUUGGGGUGAGGCCAGCACAGGCCCACUCCUCCUUGCACUGCACCCUCUUGCAAAGGUGGGCCUGGUUCUGCACCACGUGUGCUGUGGAGAGACCUGGUAACUGUCCUGAUGGGCUCAUCUCUGGGGAACCUGCUUCUUUGGUUUUGGCCCCCAGUAUCCCGGGAGAUGGGUGACAACCUCUGGGUGCAGGCACUCAAGGAGGCACUGCUGGCAGGACAGGGGAGGAGGAAGAGGAAGAAGAAGAAAAUGAGCUGAGGAAUGGCCACCACAGCAAGGGCUGCCCCAAGCACAACUCUCUUCAAAGUUUCUCAAGAGGCUUCAGCCACUCUUUCAAGGCAGAAGCACCCUGGAGCCAGGAUGGCAUGGAGCUGCUCCCAGCACAGCCUGCACACUGGGAUCACGGGUUGUGACCAUGCUGCACUCUGGGUUUCUUCACUUGCCCGGGUUCACUCCCAUGAUGCCAAUAUCCCAUCCAGGACAGCGUGGGCAAGCUGCAAAGCCCUGCUCAGCUGUGGUGACUCACUCAAGCUCCCAAUGGGAAAGUCAUCGUUCCUGGCAGGCCCUGACAGCCCAGAGGCAAAUCAUUACUAGGCAGGCAGUUGCAAAACAACACCACGAAAGCUCAUAGCAUACAUGCUGCUGGCACGGAGGCUCUCCCAUCAGGGAUCAGCAGGGAAGAUGUUCCUGUGGAGGGAAGGAGGCUGGAGGAGCCACUGCACUUCGUUCAUCCCCUUCCUUAAGUGAAGAGGGAGCUCUCAUGAUCUCUCCAAAGCUCUAAUUAAAAUGGCCUGGAUGUCCAUGACAUUGGUGCCUGUCAAGCCUGUCACCAGGAGGUGAUGCCCACCUUGGAACUGGCUGAAGAAGGUGUAGGAGUCGUUGUUCCUGAGAAAAGCCUCCACGUCCAGGCCCUCCUGAAGCGCCUCAGCCACUAGCCCUGGGCUGCAGAAGGCUCCUGCCGCCUCCGUCGGCCCAUCCUGCCCAUCCGUUCCCCCGCUGAAGAAGAUGAUCUCACACCUCCCUCGGGGGCUGCUGCCUUCCAUGGCCUGUGCCCUGUGCAGCCCCAGCCCCACGCGCAGGGCCAGCUCCUGGUUCCUCCCUCCCUUGCCGCUUCCUUGAAGCUGGACUGUGGUUUCUCCACCAGCCAGGAUGCAGACUGGUCUUUCAGGCCCUAAUCCUCGCAGGGCCUGUAGAAACUUGGCAAGGUCCAAACCUGGGAUCUCCAGCUCUGCCGCCAGCUGCAGGAGAUUGCCCCUCACCUCAUCACCGAGGGGCUCUUCUGCGCGGCCGGCGAGGCCCAGGCAGACCAGCCGGAUCAGCUGGCAGUACAGCGUGGAGACACGGCCGACCUCCCCACGGAUUCCUGCACUCAGAACCAGAGCUGCGUAACCCAGGCUCUCAGCCUGGUGUUUGGCUUCGUCUAAAGCCAGAGUAUUUGACCCAAUGAUGAUGUUGGAAACAUGGGAGUAGUUUUCUGGAGCGGUGGGCUUGGUGGGAGAGCUGGAGAGGACCGUUUCCACUGACUUGGGCAGGUUGUGCAGCACGUCGUAUUUGGCAAGUACCUGAAGGCAGUCUUGGACACUGUGGGAGCUGGCAGCAGUGGGCCCACUUGCUAUGAUAUCCAGGGGAUCACCAAUCACAUCAGACAGGAUGAGACUCACCACCUACGGAAAGAAAUGCCCAUAGAUUAUUGCAGGAGGCAGAGACAGGUGAUUACACAAGAGCCCUGGCUCUGAGUUACACUUGCACUACCCCCACAUCAAAGCAGAUGGAAACAGGGCAGGGAAAUUUUGUUUUAUGGUCCUGUGAGUGUCACCUUGCCCUUCUUGAACCCACAGAUCUACAGUCCCCUUGGAUGCUAGACCAUCACUUUGGAAGAUGUAACCUGUGGCACUGCACCUGUCAGGCCCAGCAUAGUGUGGGUUCAGUGAUGGCACAUGCUGAGAACAGCCCCCAGGGGAGCCAAGGGUCAGAACUAGCCUUGAAAGUGCUGUGGUGAAGCACCAGCACUUGGAGGUGCCUGCCAGGUGUGGGCUGGGGUGUGCUGAGAGUGGUGUGAUGAUGGCUGAUGAUUGCCAAGCCUGAAUUCCCCCUGUUCCACCUCUGUCUCCCUGAGAGUUUGGGUCCUCAGUGAAAUCUCAGCUAUAGAGUCCCAAAACAGCAUGCAAAGGUUGUUCAUGUAGUAAGGAAAAAGCCCUGCAAGCAUGCUUAGGUAAGUUGACUGAGCCUCUGCUUUGGGGGUAGGCGGGUGAUCUGUGGGCAAGCAGGGCCUUCCCCGUGGUUACCUGUGCAGGAUAUGCGAGCUGGGCCAGCCCUCCUCCCUUCAGCACGGACAGAGUCUUCCGGACAAUGUUCAGCUCCUGUAUGGCAGCUCCUCGGGAAGCCAGCGUCUUUGUGAGUUUCUCCUUCUCUUCGAGGAGGAUGGGAGGGAUGGGAGCAGGCAGCAGGGCUGAUCCACCCCCUAGGAUGCAGAAGAGAUGGCAAGGACAUCAGGAUAGCAGGAAAAGGAGGACAGAAGAGAGCAAGGCUUGAACUUUUCCUCUUCCCUGACUAGUGUAUGGAGGGAAGGCAAUUGGGGACCUAAGCUAACAUCUCUGGAGAAUUCAGUCUUCACCAAUGGGUUUUCAUAACUGCUGUCCCGCACUCUUUUCAGUCUGCUAUGCUUCACCUGGCAGUGUAAACCAUGCCAGACUGGGAUACCACAUGCCUCCAGUGUUGUGGGGAUGACAGAAAAGGGACAGCAACUACUAUCACCACUACUCUGGGCUACCAGUGUGUCCUCACACUGAUAUUCAUCUGGAGGGGUGAGCAGAGAGCACAGCUUCCAUAGCUCACACAGCAGUCUGUGCUAUGCAUGUGGAGACACUGCCUGCUUUGGUGGCUCCAUUUAUUCAGGACACUGAGUAAAAAAAAAAACAAAACAAACAAAAACAAACAAAAAACCCCCCUAUCAACUACGGAUGCAGCAAGACUGGAAACCCCUGAACUGUGCUCAUCUUGGUCUGGGAGGAAAGGAAGGGGAGGACAGUAAUGCAAAGGACAAAGCACACCCUGAGUCCAGGGGUCCAGCCUCAUCAAUGGAAAUCCUGUCUGAUACAAGCAGGCAUUGGAAACGUGGAAAAGAAGGCAAGAUUCUAAUGGAAAAGUGGAUGGAAAAUACAGAGGAGAAAAGAGCAAGAUCUGAGCAGAGAGAACACGCACAGAAGUACAGCUGAAAGAUACUGUCAAAAGGCAAAGCCUGCUCAGAGGUUUGAGACAAAUCAGCAUCAAUAAAACAUGAUGAGCAAGAAAAACAAA